rnacentral:rRNA from 1 species
UACGGAGGGUGCGAGCGUUGUCCGGAAUCACUGGGCGUAAAGGGCGCGUAGGCGGCCUGAUAAGUAGGGGGUGAAAUCCUGCGGCUUAACCGCAGGGCUGCCUUCUAAACUGUCAGGCUAGAGCACAGUAGAGGCAGGUGGAAUUCCCGGUGUAGCGGUGGAAUGCGUAGAUAUCGGGAGGAACACCGGUGGCGAAGGCGGGUCUCUGGGCCGAAAUUGACGCUGAGGAGCGAAAGCGUGGGGAGCAAACAGG